ensembl:misc_RNA Metazoa_SRP Metazoan signal recognition particle RNA
GCUGGGCACGGUGGUACACACCUGUAGUCCCAGCCACUCAGGAGGCUGAGGCAGGAAGAUGGCUCAAGUCCAGACACUCUAGACUAUCAUGCACUAUGCAGAUAGGAUGUCCACAGUAAGUUUGGCAUGAAUAUGACUGGCAAUCUCCAGGAAACAGGGGAACUGCCACUUUGCCUAAGGAAGGGGGAACUGGCCCAGGUCAGAAAUAGAGGAAGUCAAAACUCUCGUGUUAAUCAGUAGUAGGAGGAUAUCUGUGAAUAGCUACUGUACUCCAGCCUGGGCAACAUAGCAAGAUUCCUCCUGA